rnacentral:snoRNA from 10 species
GGCCUGGCCAGGGGUUCAGGCUGCAGACCCAGAGCUUGUGCUUCUGCAUAACUGGGGCCCCAGGCAUGGGGGCUCUUUCAACUGCCAGCAACAAGG